rnacentral:rRNA from 1 species
UAGUCCACGCCGUAAACGAUGAACACUAGAUGUCGGGGGCUCUUGUCCCUUCGGUGUCGAAGCUAACGCGUUAAGUGUUCCGCCUGUGGAGUACGGCCGCAAGGCUAAAACAUAAAGAAAUUGACGGGGGCCCGCACAAGCGGUGGAGUAUGUGGUUUAAUUCGAUGCAACGCGAAGAACCUUACCUGGGUUAUAAUGCUCUUGCACGAUCCAGAGAUGGAUAUUUCCUUCGGGACAAGAUGCAAGGUGCUGCAUGGUUGUCGUCAGCUCGUGCCGUGAGGUGUUGGGUUAAGUCCCGCAACGAGCGCAACCCCUAUUUCUAGUUGCCAGCAUGUAAUGAUGGGGACUCUAGAGAGACUGCCGGCGUAAGCCGCGAGGAAGGUGGGGAUGACGUCAAAUCAUCAUGGCCUUUAUGCCCAGGGCUACACACGUGCUACAAUGGCGAAUACAGAGGGCUGCCAACCAGCAAUGGUGAGCCAAUCCCUUAAAAACUCGUCGUAGUCCGG